UGGUUCCCUUACAUACAGGUCAUUCGGCCCUUUGAAUUGGUGGGAAUGGAUUUAAUAGGACCAUUACCAGCAACAAAGAAGGGAUACCAGUAUAUACUGACAGCCACAAACUAUCUUACAAGAUGGGUUGAAGUAUUUCCACUUCGAAAUAAGUCAGCAUCUGAGGUGUCAAAGAAAAUGUACAAAAUUAUUCAGCGAUUUGGAUGUCCACAGCAUAUACUGACAGAUUGUAGGUCAGAAUUCAUUAAUGAGGUAAAUACUUAUUUCUGAGGUUGUUUUUGACUAUGUCUUAAACCAUACUUUCAGAACACAGAUAGUUGACAGUGAACAUGGGCUUCAUUGCCCUUGUGAGUUUUUCUUUAUGGGCAUUUUUUCGACAAGUUUCUAUGAACUCCCACUCAACUUUGGCAAGGAUUACUGCUGGUCACCCCAUCAGAGUUGCUAUAACGUUUUAUUCUUUGGUCUCUUUUUAGCCACCAAACCUGUCCAAAGGAAAGUUUAUGGCAUAACUUUUUUUCUUUCAGUAUAACCGAGACAUUGGCAAAAAAUUGGGAAUACAACGUAGCUUCAUCAGCCCAUAGCACCCACAAACCACUGGAUUGGCUGAAAACACAAACAAAUCCAUUAAAAGAGCAUUGCGGAAGUUGGUUGAUGACACUGGGAGUCAUUGGGACAAAUUUCUUGGUGACAUUUUAUUUUCUUUGCAAUCAAAACCAAACAUAACAACCAAAAUGUCACCCUUUUGACUACUGUAUGGCUUUGAAGCAACAUUGCCAGGCCAAGCCUCAGACAAUUACACGUAAGUGUCUUUGAGAACCAUCAACUUUCCGGUGCAUGUGUUUAUUCUGUGAUUGUUCAUUUUACAAAACACAACUCCUUUUCUAUUUGUUUACAAAGCCAACAGAUUUUGAGAAACUCAGUGAGGAAUACUACAAAAAAAGAGUACAGCAUAAAUAUGAAAUCUAGCUGUGAUGCUGACAUUGAACUGGCUAUUAGUAAUAUUUCUAAAGCACAAGAAAAGCAACAAAUACAGUAUGCCAAAACUAAGACUUGUAAACAUGGGAAAACAACAUUUGAGGUUGGGGACAGCGUCACGUUACUGAAUGCGAGAAGGAAAACAAGAAAGGGAGGGCCGCUGCAACCUACCUACCGUGGACCAUACAAAGUUACCACUGUAGAGGGCAAAACAGUUAAAUUAGACAGGUUUCAGAGUAACAGCCGUGUUAGUCUGUAUUCGCUGUAGCUCACGAAAGCUUAUGCUCAAAUAAAUUGGUUAGUCUCUAAGGUGCCACAAGUACUCCUUUUCUUUUUUAGUUAAAUUAGAAACCAUCUCAGGGAAACUUUUAGGAUCCAUGUACAGUAUUUCCCAUUUAAAACUAUUUAAAGAGCCUCCAACAUUAGCUGCUGAAAACAGAUCAUAGGAAAACAUGGAAAUGGAAACUGUAGUGGAUGACACUGUAAAAACAGCCACCUCAGAAGAGGUAGGAGAAAUGGGAGGCAAUAUAUCUCACAAGCCUCACGACAGCCACGUGAUAAAGGUAGAGGUCACAGACACAGAAGAAGAGGAGUGUGUAGUGGCAGAAGUUGCAAGCAGUCAUCCAAGUGAUGCUGAUGACAUGCCUAUGGAGGAUGAUAAAGACAAAGAAUGGUUUCUCAAAGGUAUUGCUUACCACACAUUUGUUUUUAAAGAAUUUGUUAACACUUUGCAUGUCGAUAGCUUUCAUGUAAGAACGGUUUCAUGAUGGUCAAACAGAGGAAAAAGUAAUUGCAUUACCAUGCACGUAAUAUGCAUUUGGUUUUGUUUUUUUCGAGUAAAAUUCAUAAUGACGCACAAGAUUGCGGACAGACUGGAGGCCAAAGUAAGAAAAAUCAGUUUGUAUGACGCUGCAUUUUGUGACCUGAUGCUAGAAAGAUGACUGACCGAUGACAUACGUUGAAAUAGCUAUAAACACAGAAGGUGAUUGGAUUGAUUGCUCAGAUGUUUUCAAAUGUUAACUAUUCUUUCAACAUCUGUUGUAGGUUAUUGAUGCGUAUCUGUGUUGUGUGGUCGAGAAAGCAAGUGGAAAGAUAGGCCACUUAUUGUGAUGCUACAUGGAAAUAGCAAACAUAUCAAUUAUCAAACUAUCAGAUGAAUAUGUGCUAAGACAUGUUUAACUGCACAUAGCCUGGAAUUGUGAAUACAAACCUCUAAUUGCUGCAUCUCACUGUACUUACUGCUGCCAAACAUGUACUCAGAAGUAAUUUGAGGUAUAUACCUGAGAUACAAUCCGUGACAUGUACAGAGCCACAUUAGUUUUGAUAUACAGAUCAGUGCAGCCAUGAUAGUAACACAAGUAUAUGCACUGCUUAGUCAGUUCUUAAAGUAAGUACAACAGAGCACAUGCGGUCUUAAAAACGUAAGAUUUGUCAACUAUCUUACAUAUGUUUUUUGUAACAAUAAGGAUCUUUUCCAUGCCCUUUUUUAAAAAAUGAAUUGCAUUGUGUUUUUUGUGUGCCACAUUAACAAUUUCCUGGAGUGUUAACAGAUGCAAGCCAUCUCCUCAGUAGUUGCUACUAGCAUUCUGUCAGGCAGAGCAAGCCAAAUGAAAAUGGAGAAGGUAAAUGUUAACAAGCUUUCGUGCCCAACAUGGGCAAUUCCCAUUUUCAGAAAGGCAGUUAAGCACAGUCUUAAGAAACAGUCAAAACUAUUAUGGCAGAGUUCAUUCUGCUCCUCGGUGGGUUUCCCGCCUCCACUUAGCAGCAGGCGGGAGUAUUCCUCUCUCCCUCAGAAUUUCCCCAUGCCCCUGGGCUUGCUGUGCACACCUUGCCUGAGCAGGGUUCCGCCCAGCCCCCUUGACGGGGGGAGCGGGAGGGGAGGCUCUUAGUCUGUGGUAACACCUCCAGACGUGGUGGCGACAGACCAGACACCCAGUUCAGUCUCUCCCCUCUGGUGGCGUUUCUUCCCUCAGACCUCCAGGGUUUGGAAGGGCUGUUCGCCCUGUUGGGCAGUGUUUCCCCUGCCCUUUGCCUCUGCACCUGUGGGGUUUCCCUCCUGGUGCUUGUCAGCGUCUGCACACCCACCUUUCCAGUGGUACGCCUUUCUCCCACAGCUCCUAUCACGCACCUCUAGCUGGCUGGAGGGAAGGCUCUUAAUAGGUUCUGACAAGCCCCUUGAUUUACCCCAGGUGUCUCAAUUAUGGUGAAGUAACCCCUGCUCAGUUACCAAGGGAAAAGGGGCCCUUUUAUCCUGGGGCUAAUAUACCUGCCUUCCACCACUCUCCUAUAGCCAUCAGGCCUGACCCCAUCAUACUAUGCUAUGUUGGGGAAUGAGUAAUAGUAAGCAUGUCCUGAAAUUGGGAAAUACAAUGUAAUCCACACUGACUGCUUUGCUUCACAGGAAAGAAGAAUUAAAAAUGCAGUUAUAUUUGCAAUGAUCACAGAGUGGAAUUCUGCGAAGUGAUAUAGUCGUGCUUCCUUUCAACUCUCCAAAUCACUGGGUUAUUGUGAUAACACUAAUGGAAACCAAAGAGUUGGUAAUAAUUGACCCCUUGGGUAAUGAGAUGACAUAUGAAAGAGAAUUCCUGAGGGAUU